AGAUAAGAAGAGCCACAGCAAAACCCUUGGGUCUACAGUGCAGGCUGCAACCAAGGCAGCAUUUGCUAGAAUAUUUGUGAUUAUGUGUUCAACCUACAGAGCAUGUGUCAAGCUUGGGAUGAGGCCUGAGAGUAAUUAAGUUUUUUAAAUCCCUCCAAAUAAUCACCUAUGGUUUUGAUAAAUGACAUUAACAAUCUUUACAUUAGAGCCAAUUUAAGAAGGCGCUGGUAUGUAUGAGCUUUUUGAGGCUGCUCAAAAAGUGUUCUUUUCAAAGGUGACAGAGGCCCCCUCAUGGUAUUGUUUCAUGAUCAAGGUCGACCCUCCCAAGAAAGUAGGUAGCUUCGCAGACGCAACUGGAGAAGCAUGCACGCAGGCAGACCCAAGGGAGAGAGGAGAGGCGGGGCAUGCACUUGGGGUAGACCAGGCUGCCAGCUCCAUGGGAAAUGAACACAGGCAGCGUGGAGUAGGGAGAGCUGAGGACUCUUCUAGAUACCCAGAGU
ensembl:lncRNA novel transcript